rnacentral:rRNA from 1 species
GACGAACGCUGGCGGCGUGCUUAACACAUGCAAGUCGAACAGUGGCGAACGGGUGAGUAACACGUGAGUAACCUGCCCUCCACUUUGGGAUAACUCCGAGAAAUCGGGGCUAAUACUGGAUAGUGGGGGAUGGGCUCGCGGCCUAUCAGUUUGUUGGGUAGGUAGUGGUCACCAAGGCGUGACGGGUAGCCGGCCUGAGAGGGCGCACGGCCACAGGUGGACUGAGACACGGCGCAGAGUGCUACGGGGGGCAGCAGUGGGGAAGAUUGCACAAUGGGCGAAAGCCUGAUGCGGCGACGCCGGGUGGGGGAUGUCGGCCUUCGGGUUGUAAACCGCUUUCAGCAAGGAAGCGGUACUUGCAGAAGAAGCGCCGGCUAACUACGUGCCAGCAGCCGCGGUAAUAC